rnacentral:rRNA from 1 species
CCUACGGGUGGCAGCAGUGGGGAAUAUUGCACAAUGGGCGCAAGCCUGAUGCAGCCAUGCCGCGUGUGUGAAGAAGGCCUUCGGGUUGUAAAGCACUUUCAGCGGGGAGGAAGGCGUUAAGGUUAAUAACCUUGGCGAUUGACGUUACCCGCAGAAGAAGCACCGGCUAACUCCGUGCCAGCAGCCGCGGUAAUACGGAGGGUGCAAGCGUUAAUCGGAAUUACUGGGCGUAAAGCGCUCGCAGGCGGUCUGUCAAGUCGGAUGUGAAAUCCCCGGGCUCAACCUGGGAACUGCAUUCGAAACUGGCAGGCUAGAGUCUUGUAGAGGGGGGUAGAAUUCCAGGUGUAGCGGUGAAAUGCGUAGAGAUCUGGAGGAAUACCGGUGGCGAAGGCGGCCCCCUGGACAAAGACUGACGCUCAGGUGCGAAAGCGUGGGGAGCAAACAGGAUUAGAUACCCCUGUAGUC